UGCUUCCUUAUAGACUUAUGCAAUAGGUUUGUGAGACAACGCUUCAGGGUGGGAACACAGCAGAGCAUCUCAUAAAUUUGUGUGCCAUAAGCACCUGUAAGGGAGUUAGAUUU
rnacentral:SRP_RNA from 1 species